UCCCCUCAGAGAUCCCCAAAUCCCUUAAAGGGCCCCAAAAUCCCCUCAGAGAUCCCAAAACUCCCUCAGAGAUCCCAAAACUCCGUCAGAAACCCCCGAAAUCUCCUCAGGAACCCCAAAAUCCCCUCAGGAACCCCAAAAUCACCUCAGAGACCCUCAAAUCCCCUCAGAGAUCCCCAAAUCCCCUCAGGAACCCCAAAAUCCCCUCAGAGACCCCCGAAAUCUCCUCAGAGAUCCCAAAUUUCCCUCAAAAUCCCCUCAGGGACCUGUCAGGACUCCCAAAAACCGCGGGGAAACAAAAAACCCUUCAGGGACCCCUCAAAUCUCCUCAGAAAUCCCAAAAUCCCCUCAGAGGCCCCAAAUCGCUUAAGAGGCCCCAAAAUCCCCUCAGAGAUCCCAAAUUUCCUCCAAAUCCCCUCAGGAACCUCUCAGGACGCCCGAAAACUGCCGGGAGUCCCAAAAUCCCCUCAGAAAUCCCAAAAUCCCCUCAGAGGCCCCAAAUACCUUAAAAGGCCCCAAAAUCCCCUCAGAGAUCCCCGAAAUCUCCUCAGAGACCCCAAAAUCCCCUCAGAGAUCCCAAAUUUCCUCCAAAUCCCCUCAGGAACCUCUCAGGAUGCCCGAAAACUGCCGGGAGUCCCAAAAUCCCCUCAGAGAUCCCAAAACCCCCUCAGAGAUCCCAAAUUUCCUCCAAAUCCCCUCAGGAACCUCUCAGAACUCCCGAAAACCGCGGGGAAACAAAAAUCCCCUCAGGGAAUCUUGAAAUCCCCUCACGGACCCCAAAAGCCCCUCAGGAACUUCUCAGAACGCCUCAAAAACCGCGGGGGCACAAAAAACCCUUCAGGGACCCCUCAGAUCCCCCAAAAUUCCCCUCAGAAAUCCCAAAAUCCCCUCAGAGAUCCCAAAUUUCCUCCAAAUCCCCUCAGGAACCUCUCAGGACGCCCGAAAACUGCCGGGAGCCCUAAAAUCCCCUCAGAGAUCCCCAAAUCCCUUAAAGGGCUCCAAAAUCCCCUCAGAGAUCCCAAAUUUCCCUAAAAAUCCCCUCAGGGACCUCUCAAGACUCCCGAAAACCGCGCGGACUUAAAAAUCCCCCUCAGGGAAUCUUGAAAUCCCCUCAGGAACCCCAAAAUCCCCUCAGACACCCCCGAAAUCUCCUCAGAGACCCCAAAAUCCCCUCAGAGAUCCCAAAUUUCCUCCAAAUCCCCUCAGGAACCUCUCAGGAUUCCCGAAAACUGCCGGGAGCCCUCAAAUCCC
rnacentral:lncRNA from 1 species